rnacentral:rRNA from 1 species
CAGCCGCCACGGUAAUACGUAGGUGGCAAGCGUUGUCCGGAAUUAUUGGGCGUAAAGGGCUCGCAGGCGGUUUCUUAAGUCUGAUGUGAAAGCCCCCGGCUCAACCGGGGAGGGUCAUUGGAAACUGGGAAACUUGAGUGCAGAAGAGGAGAGUGGAAUUCCACGUGUAGCGGUGAAAUGCGAAGAGAUGUGGAGGAACACCAGUGGCGAAGGCGACUCUCUGGUCUGUAACUGACGCUGAGGAGCGAAAGCGUGGGGAGCGAACAGGAUUAGAUACCCCGGUAGUCCCUGUCUCUUAUAA